AUUACCUAAAAUAUUUAUCCUUUUAUUAGAGCAGCUGUAUCACACAUUAACUACAUAGCAAAUUUUUAAUACCUACUGCACUACACAUUUUGAACAGCAAAACUUUGUGGAAAAAUAACAAGAAAAGUGACAAACUUACCCUAAGCCCAAGAAAACCAGAAGUGAGUAGUGAUUUUGGUGCUCUGGAAGAUACACACUGUAAUAGUCUUUCUGUGGCUACUGUGUGUAGUUUUUACCACAUUUAUUGUCUAAUAAUCUUUCCAAGUGUUACUGGUCCAAACCUUCCCUUCUUGACCAUUUUGUUCACUGUUCUGCUACACCAUUAAAAUACUGGAUAAAAUACUGGGUGAGAAUCACCUCUGCUGCCUGUCUCUGUUGCAGAUGUCUCCAGAGAGGUGACCCUGACCAGGCCAGAGCACGCUGCACUUGCUGCUUUCCCUGCACUGCUGGGCUGGUGGAAUUGCUACCAAGACACGAAGAAGAGACUAUUAGAAAUAUGAAGGCUGCGCUACUAUGACUCAAUCCUAGGCUGUCAUACAGGUCAAUGAGCACUCAUGACUUGGUAAGCAUUUCUAGCUAUCAAACACAUUACCUUGUAAAAAUGAUAAACUGGAAUGUCAAAUAUUUCAGUGAUGAAUGGGAAGUUUCCAGGUGGGUUGUAUGUAAAGGUAAUGAUCUCCAGGCAACACGCCAGCAGAGACCUGUGAAACACAUCUUGCUCCAGUAUUGCCUGCAAGAGUUGCAAAUUUUAAAGUUUAUUUUACAGUGUAACUAGAGAGAAAAUAAAACACUUUUUAUUGUCUCAACAGCAAGAUUCUCAAGCUUACAAAAAGUGAAACUAUUUUUUAAGGGACUGAACAGAGUUCAAAAUGAGCCAUCUUUAGUCAUUAAAAAUUUACUCUGUGCUUGCAAACACAAUUUCUUAAACCUUUUCCUUCCAUUCAGGUGUAUUUACAGGGUUCUUCUCAGAGAUGUACCCUCAUUUUAAAUAACUGACAAUUCUGCUCUACAUUUGUGAUCUUUUUUUGCAGGUCCAAUUUCAAAAAUGAAGUACCCUUUGUUUAGUUUUCCUUACAGAUAAGUCAGUGUCUCUCAGUCUCUUCCUCUCUUGCUCAAUGACUGACUCCAAGACCUUGUAGUAGAGCAUCUCAGCACGACGAAAAUGUUUACUAGCAACAUCUGCAGGAAGUUUAAAUAGAAGCAAUAUUGUAAAAUGCAAGAAAAAAGUAUUAUAAUCUUCAGAUACAGAAAUGCAACAGCAGCUUGUGUAGAUUUCUGUGCUGCUGUGGAUACAAUACUUUCAGGACUAAAACAGUUAAUUUCAAGUUAAUGUAGGAAUCCUUCUCCUACACUGCCCUGAUCUGUGAAUGCAGAGCAGAGUAACUUGCUACCAAACCCAGAUUAUGGUGACAGGGCCAUGUAUAAGAACAACCCUUAACAUUGCUGUAACAGACACAAUUGAAAUUGAGAAAAUGCACCUGUAUGGAUCCACCUUGCACUGUGCAAAAAAAGCACUGAAGCUACUAAACUGGCAUGAACAAAGGAAGGCCUUAUUAAGAAACAAGGUCAAGAGCAUCUUCCUUAUAUUCAAUCCAUCUUCAGGCACUUCAGAUAUCAAGACAACUUUGCAAAUCAUGUUUUUGUGUUUAUACUGGCAGGAUUUUAAUACCUGUACUAAUCCAUCUUCAUAUGUAAGCCCAAGUUGCUGUUGGGUUUUUAAAGACUACAGUUACUCAGAUUUUCUUUACCAGCACAGAAAUCCAUGCCAUCACUUAUAUUCUUUUAUUUGAGAGAAGAAGUGGUACACUUCAAAGUCCUUUUCAUUGCACUUCUCUAGUGCUGAAAGUGUGAUCAAAUUCCAGUGAUUCAAGCUAAGGCUGAUUAUAAAAUUUUACACAACAUUGGAAUUUUCUAUAUCUUAAGAACACAGGAAAAGGCAAAAGAGGUAGAAAAGACACUUGUGCUAAAGCAAAACCUGUAUGUAAAACUUAAUUAUAAGAGAUGGAUGUAUUUACAGGCAUUUUAUGGAUAAGGUAAAUGUUUCCCACCUUUGGAAAAAUUACUGAAUUCUCCUUCAGACUGAGUGCUCUGACAGUACACUUCAUGCAUUUCUUUCAGUCUGUUUGCAAUGGAUUGAGAAGGAUCUCUGGAGCAUGACCUGAAAAUAAAAACUAAACAUUUUCAAUAUACUAUUCCUACUAAGACCAAAACCACCCUAUAUUUUAUAUGCUGAAAGCAUAAAAAAUGCAAAUAUAUUGCACAGCAAUACAAACAGACCCAAAUGUGCCUAACUGCAAACCAGUUUAUGCACAUGGAGAAUAAAGUUUGGUUUGCAUAUCCCACAGUAUGGGGUGAUUUCCUAGGUAGUGCCAUUAGGUAAUGGUAAGAAAAUUUUAUACUGGCAACUUGUGGUUAGAGAAGCUCAUAACUGCUGGGUUUUAAAUAGUAGGUGUUCAUCAAUCUCUAAGGACAGAUGAGUCUAAAUAAAGAGAAUAGUCUUUCAAAAUGUAAA